rnacentral:misc_RNA from 1 species
UAUUGGUGGGUGCCCAUACUCCUGUGAAUUUGGGAGAAUGUGUGCAUCUGUACAUUUGUUUGGGUUCAUGACUUGUCUUAUUGAGAAAUUCUUCUCAUAUUUGAAUGCAUUUUGCUCUGUCUUCCCACCCAUUGUAUAAAGUAAGCUUUUUCUGGAAAGCAUAAUUUCAGCAUGCAUAUAGAUUGUUGUUAUUACCCAUGCUUUAAUCUAGUAUGUCAUUGCUAGUGAU